ACAAUGCGCGGAAGCGCGAUGAGGGGAUUCCAAGUGCAUGCACUCUGUGUAUGCUGUUUACUAGUCUAAAAAGCUAGUAGAGUAAGGGCUGGGUAAGACUGGUGCCAGCCGCCGCGGUAAUACCAGCGGCCCUAGUGGUGAUCGUUAUUAUUGGGCCUAAAGCGUCCGUAGCCUGCCGUGUAAGUUUCCCGUUAAAUCCAGCGUCUUAAGCGUUGGACCGCGGGAAAUACAAACAAAGCUAGAGAGUGGGAGAGGUCAGCGGUAUUCUGGGGGUAGGGGCGAAAUCCUUUGAUCCCCGGAGGACCACCAGUGGCGAAGGCUGCUGUCUAGAACACGUCUGACGGUCAGGGACGAAAGCUGGGGUAGCGAACCGGAUUAGAUACCCGGGUAGUCCCAGCCGUAAACGAUGCAUGCUAGGUGUUGGGUUGGCCACGAGCCACCCCAGUGCCGCAGGGAAGCCGUUAAGCAUGCCGCCUGGGAAGUACGAUCGCAAGGUUGAAACUUAA
rnacentral:rRNA from 1 species